UGGGGGAUGAAGUGGAGUCACAGCCUCCCGUGCUCUCACCCCGUCUAGGCUGCCAGGCCAGGACACUUCCUAGGCUGAGUCAGGGUGACGAGGGAUAUGGCCGGGGCCUGAGUGCACCCCCCCCGGGACCCUCCAGAAAUGCCCCUUCUACGUUCUCAAUCCUUGGGACAGGACUGUCACGCCGAGAAACCCGCUUGCCUAGCACUUGGGUGAGAGAGACCUGCAGGUCAACACCCUGAAGGCAGUCAAUGGUCAUGUGUGUGGAUCGGAUGGCUUCCUCACGAGUUUACGAUUUGAGGAGGCAAUUGUUCAGGUAUUACGGGUAUUGGUAAUGUAGAGGCUGGUGUAUGGAUGCCUAGAGAUCUCAACGUAGCCCUGGAAUCCUUCGUGGUGUGCAGCACCUCGUUUGUCUUUGCUACAAAUAAUUUCUCACCAUCGAAGGGAAGAUCCUCCACGGUGUUCUGUAGCUCAUGUGGGAAAGAGGAAGAGUUGAACCAUGAAGUCCGAUGCAUAACAACGGCUGGAGCAGUGGACCUGGCUGCAGUGUCCACAGCAUCAAGGGCAGCCUGGAGUAACGUGCAGGAAAUUUUGUCCCCUUCAGAGACCACUGCCUUAAAUUGCGAUCUCUUUUCUUCUGGAAUAUUGUUAACAAAUUCCAUUAAUUGCCCAUAAUUUCUAUGGUCAUAUUUGGCUAGGAGGGUGGCAAACUAUGCCACACUGACUUGCAGUGUGGAAGUUGCAUAAACCUUGCAGCCCAAAUCAAUCCAUUCUUUUACUGUCCCUGUCAGGAGUAGUAGACCGGAAAUGCUGCUGCUUGUUUCUUUGAUUUGCUGCUUCCAGCACCAAACUCGCUGGUAGUGGAUGUGUGAAAAGAAACUGAGCCAUUGGAGAGGACACAGUAUUGCCAAUCUGCUCUCUUGUAGGUCAGGGGCAUAGUAGCUGGAGUUUGCCAGAUAUUCUUGACUGGGUCCAGGACAGCUCCACUGAUUGAGAGGGAAAUCUUGGAGGAGGCGCAGGUUGCAAGAUGCAAGAGUCUCACUUCAUGUUGAGUCUCUGACACCUCCUCCAUAGUGAUCUUGAGUUCACUAGCCAUCCUUUUAAAUAGAUCUUAAGAAAGGGUCAAAAAAAAUAAAACUUCUGACUAAAAUACUAUACUGACUGUACUAACAAACGAAGUAUGCGAAAGCGAGAAAAUGUUGAGCAGGACUGCUGAGCUCCAUCUCAGACUGGGGCAGUAGAGAAGGAACUGAGGAGUCACAGCCAUGUACAUGCUAUUACGGCACCAGCAGCGUGUGUGCAGCCCGUGCGGGUACUACCAUACAAAUCUGAGCGAAUGCGUGGGGAUGCACCAGCAUCUGCAGUGGAGUACCCACAGGGACAUCUCUCGAAUCAGAAUCCAAGAUUCAUGACUCUUGACUAAAGUUGGUUGGGAAUUUUCUGUCUGAAUGAUUUUCUGUCAGAAAAUGCA